ACAGAAUUCAUCCUUCUGCUGCAUAUAAGAAAUUCACCUCAACAUCAAAGAGAAGUUAUCUCACAGUAAAAGAUGACUCAUCAAUUGCCACUGCAGUCUCCAAUUUCUUUCUCCUUCUCAGGCACCCGCCUCAUCUUUCAACAUUCACAGAAUGCAACUCUUGCAAAAUAGUUUUUUUUUCUUAUGAAUCACUCCCAGGAAUAUGUCCCCAAGGACACACACUAUGAAGAACUUGUUGGAUGAAAGACAACAACAAAGACAUAACAAGGUAUCUAUUAGGAUGGAAGGAUCCCAAACAGAUAGAAGAUUAUCUGUCCUGGUCUAUUGUGCGGAAGAUUUGAUGUAUUUGCAACAUGGAUUGAUCAAUCUCAUUAUCAGAGGUUAGUUACACGGUGCUUCAUAAGGCCCGGUGGAUGGAGUCUAAGGCAUCUGUGUGUGUG